GACGAACGCUGGCGGCGUGCCUAAUACAUGCAAGUUGAGCGCUGAAGGUUGGUACUUGUACCGACUGGAUGAGCAGCGAACGGGUGAGUAACGCGUGGGGAAUCUGCCUUUGAGCGGGGGACAACAUUUGGAAACGAAUGCUAAUACCGCAUAAAAACUUUAAACACAAGUUUUAAGUUUGAAAGAUGCAAUUGCAUCACUCAAAGAUGAUCCCGCGUUGUAUUAGCUAGUUGGUGAGGUAAAGGCUCACCAAGGCGAUGAUACAUAGCCGACCUGAGAGGGUGAUCGGCCACAUUGGGACUGAGACACGGCCCAAACUCCUACGGGAGGCAGCAGUAGGGAAUCUUCGGCAAUGGACGAAAGUCUGUCCGAGCAACGCCGCGUGAGUGAAGAAGGGUUUCGGAUCGUAAAACUCUGUUGGUAGAGAAGAACGUUGGUGAGAGUGGAAAGCUCAUCAAGUGACGGUAACUACCCAGAAAGGGACGGCUAACUACGUG
rnacentral:rRNA from 1 species